ensembl:lncRNA
AAAACAGCGUUCCUGACUGAGUGGCUUUGGUUCCAGUGUGGAUCACCGCUGUUAUUGCCGUAGGUAUACAGGAACUCCAGCUUACAAUGUUGUAGGAUCUUUUAGUUUAGAGGUAAGUCACAAACAGAGCUGAACUGCUGCACUGUCAUCAUCUUUCAAUGCUUUUGAGAUCCGACGUUUGAUAACUUGUCCGUUAGUUUUUCAUUUGCUGGGAAUGUCAGUUUUUAGUAUUUUUCUUUUUUUUUUUUCUUAAUCUCCUGGGAAUUUCACUCUGCAUAGAUCUAUUAUUAAUUCUAUGGCAAUUCUCAGGUGUUUUCUCAAAAAUCUCAAUGUCAGUAGCAAAAGUAGGUCUGCCUAGGAAUCACUUAAAGCCCAGAUUGAGCUCAAUACAGUGCGUAGCACUGGCAGUUGGUGGGGGUUUUUGUGUUUGUUUAUAAUGCACUUUUGCCACAGCUCAACUCUGUUUUUAUUAUAAACUAAGUGUUGUGGGGUUGUCUGACAUUUAGAACUUUGGAGUUUGGAACAGUAUUAAAACCAUUCUGGCACUGCAGAAAAAAAUUGUGAGGGUGGGAGAGUGAGAAUAAAUGUUCUUCUGAGCAACAGUGACCUAUGCUAAAAAUGACAGUGUACUGAGGUAUGUAAAGGCUACAGAAAUAAAAAGAGCAAGAGGGAUUUUCCACUCUUGGAAUGUUCUGUUAACUCCCAUCAGCCAUGCCCUCACAGCACUGGUUAGCAUUCUGCCAGGAAGGGCCUCGUUGAAGGCCAGACUUUGUACCUGCAGUUUUAGUAGUUCUUGAUGCCCUGUAUCAAUUCCAGAUAGUAUUUACAAUUAAAGGAAUGGAGAAUUGGGCUUUAGAUUAAGACUCCCAGCCUUCAUAAAACUCAUCCUGCAUUCUGCCUCUUUUGCCUGUGUGGGAAGUGUGUGCAUGUACCCAUUAGUGCGGGAUGCGGGAAGGGGAUGCUAUAUUUGCACAGGGAGCCUAAAACUGAUGCAAGUGCUGCUUUGCUCUUACAGGCUGCUGAUUAGGUUGCUUUGUUGAGUCCCUUGAGCAGGAAAUGAAUAUCAGGACUCUCUUCCCUUCCCUUGGAUGUCCAGUCAGGGUCAUGCUCUCUUGUGCUUGUGGUCUAACAUGAGGAAUCGUUACUGCUUUUCUUUUCCACUCUGUUUGCAUGGAAACCAAAGUACAAGCUACUUGGAAUGCAUUUAUGGACAUAAAGGGAAAUCGUUCUUCAAGCAGUAACACAUCUUCUUGAGCAACAGUGCACAGGUACUAAGGUAACAGUUUAGCUGCUGCUAAAUACCAAGACCAGUUUGUGCCUCAGACACUCAGAGGAGUGACCAGCUGUCUUGAUUGUUCACACUAUAACCCCGUUUAAUCUCCCAGGCUGCAGCACACGCGGCAGGUAAAUACUAGACAUGAGAAUAUCAGGAAUUAAAGAAUGUCCAGAACUUAGAGCUCCCCUGGCACAACAGAAGCGACCUGAGACUGCAGAGGAGCUCAGGGUCAUGGUGGCAGUACCAGUGUCCAAAAGUUAUCCGAAUCUGCUGCUUUUGUGCUGCCACACAGAGGAAGGAGACAGGUUACCCAGUGGUCUAGAAUGGUUACGCUGUAGCUCAGUUACACCUACAGUAUAUAACUUACUGGCACCAAAUGUGCCACGAGCUAUAGAACUGUUGCUCUGUUGUUACCUAAUUCUGAACAUUUGUGUCUUGAGAUGUGGUAGAUAUAAAAGCAAAUGCUUAUAUCCAGAGCUUGAGAGCAGCCUCAGAAGGUCUGCAUUGUCUGGUGAUGAUAGAAGAGGUUAUUAAAAGUCACACUUAUUGUAUGCUUUUGGCAGCUCAGGAUUGGUUUUGCCAUUUUAGUCUGUGGUAUUUUCAGUACCUUGAGGUACGAGGAUCCUUCUCUCCUGUGGGAAGCAAAUUGGUUAUGCUGGUAUGUGGUCUGCUGGUGUAGAACUGACUGCUUUCUCAUGUUAUUCAGCUGUUACUAAAAUAAGACUCGCUCCUCUGCAGAUAAGCAGUUUAAACUCAUCUGUUAAGGCUUGUGCAAUCUUUUUUCCCUUUUCUAUUCCAAGCUGGGUAUUAUCCUCACACAUGUAUGCUUCAGGAUAUACAUCGGACCAGGGCCAAAUGCUUUGCAGCCUAAGAAAUUAACUGUAGAUUGAGUUGCUUACGUUGUGCAAAGAAAACCUAAGGACAAGGUAUGGAAAGCUGUCUACCUGCUUCUUUGGACACCAGGGAAAACUUUCCUGUGCUGCAGUAACCUUGCUUUGCUUCUGGUGCUACCUCAGCCUGGUGAAGCUCCAUCACGCCCUGGUCCUGCUGCUGGCGUACCUGUUUUCUGGUGCUCUGAGAUCCCACUCUGUAGCAGGUUUUAGCUCAGAUUAAAUGCAUUUCUUCUGACUUUUUUUCCCCUCAUAAAGGAAACGAACAUAAUUUACAACACUUCAUCCAGCUCUGAGGAUUCAUAGGCUUGAAGUCCUAUGUUUGAUUAUUUUAAUCUUGCAGCAUAAAAAUCAGGCCGCUUCAGGUUGCUCUCUACUAAAUGUGAGGAGAAAAGGCACUUGGGUACUCACCCACAGAGCCAAGGGAACUUGAGCAAGAUGCAGCCUGGUACAGCUUUGAGAUUCCCUGCUGCUGGUUACAUUUCAGUCUCCCUCACAUUCAUACCAGAUAAGUGGUGGAACUGACAAAAAUAUUAACAGGAUAGUGAUUGGUGUCUGUUCCCUUCUCUCCUUGAACGUAAAUGGGGAGUACAAAUGAUUUGACCAGAAUAAAUAAGUCAGGUGUUUCUUUGGAUUGGUUCAGUAGCCGGUGACAGAUCCUGUUCUGGGAGCACACCCCGCUGCACUGCCCUGGGCUCCAGAAGAAAGGCACCGGAGGGGAACACCACGCCAAGCUGUUGGCAGCAUGCACACAGGUUUGUACUCUACCAAAGGAGGCCAGCACGUACCAGCAACCUGCCUUCCUUUCCUGUGCAGGAGGUAUCUGUUCAUUUUUUGUUUGCACAGUUCUGCUGGGGGCAGUGUUGGCUUUAUAGCUGAUUCUGCUUUUGGAAGCUCUCUGCUCAAUCCAACAGAUUAUUUGCUCUUUUACAUUAUUCAAAUCUUUGUACUGAGCCUUCUGCUCUCCACUGACUUGCUUUUGCAGAGGUUUGUUCCUGUGAUCAUGCUUAGUGCUUUCUUUUGAUUAUUAUUCCAUUUUGAAUGGAUUGAGGAGACUUGUCUUCUUGUUUAUAUCCAUAGAAACUGGAGCAAAGGGAUUUUAGUCACUAAAUUUACACCUAGGUAGCGCUGCUAUCACAGUAGCUGUCUGUUUCAUACGGACGUAUAUUGUGAGCCUGUGUUUACCAAUGAUAGUGACUAAACUCCUUAUUUUAGAAUACAUUUUAGCCAAACUGCUGCUCUCAGAGUGCUAAAAGGGUUAUGUUUUGGUGGAGCACAUUCAAUGGCUCCAGAACAAAUAUUGCAAAAGGUAGUGCC